rnacentral:rRNA from 1 species
CCAGACUCCUACGGGAGGCAGCAGUAGGGAAUCUUCGGCAAUGGGGGGAACCCUGACCGAGCAACGCCGCGUGAGUGAAGAAGGUUUUCGGAUCGUAAAGCUCUGUUGUUAAGGAAGAACGAGUGUGAGAAUGGAAAGUUCAUACUGUGACGGUACUUAACCAGAAAGGGACGGCUAACUACGUGCCAGCAGCCGCGGUAAUACGUAGGUCCCGAGCGUUGUCCGGAUUUAUUGGGCGUAAAGCGAGCGCAGGCGGUUAGAUAAGUCUGAAGUUAAAGGCUGUGGCUUAACCAUAGUACGCUUUGGAAACUGUUUAACUUGAGUGCAGAAGGGGAGAGUGGAAUUCCAUGUGUAGCGGUGAAAUGCGUAGAUAUAUGGAGGAACACCGGUGGCGAAAGCGGCUCUCUGGUCUGUAACUGACGCUGAGGCUCGAAAGCGUGGGGAGCAAACAGGAUUAGAUACCCUGGUAGUCCACGCCGUAAACGAUGAGUGCUAGGUGUUGGGUCCUUUCCGGGACUCAGUGCUGCAGUUAACGCAUUAAGCACUCCGCCUGGGGAGUACGACCGCAAGGUUGAAACUCAAAGGAAUUGACGGGGGCCCGCACAAG